GAUACCCUGGUAGUCCACGCUGUAAACGAUGAAUACUAGGUGUGGGAGGACUGACCCCUUCCGUGCCGCAGUUAACACAAUAAGUAUUCCACCUGGGGAGUACGACCGCAAGGUUGAAACUCAAAGGAAUUGACGGGGGCCCGCACAAGCAGUGGAUUAUGUGGUUUAAUUCGACGCAACGCGAAGAACCUUACCAGGACUUGACAUCCUACUAACGAAGUAGAGAUACAUCAGGUGCCCUUCGGGGAAAGUAGAGACAGGUGGUGCAUGGUUGUCGUCAGCUCGUGUCGUGAGAUGUUGGGUUAAGUCCCGCAACGAGCGCAACCCCUAUUGUUAGUUGCUACGCAAGAGCACUCUAGCGAGACUGCCGUUGACAAAACGGAGGAAGGCGGGGACGACGUCAAAUCAUCAUGCCCCUUAUGUCCUGGGCUACACACGUAAUACAAUGGUGGUCAACAGAGGGAGGCAAGACUGCGAAGUGGAGCAAAUCCCUAAAAGCCAUCUCAGUUCGGAUUGCAGGCUGCAACUCGCCUGCAUGAAGCUGGAAUUGCUAGUAAUCGCGGAUCAGCAAGCCGCGGUGAAUACGUUCCCGGGCCUUGUACACACCGCCCGUCACACCAUGAGAGUCGGGAACACCCGAAGUCCGUAGUCUAACCGCAAGGGGGGCGCGGCCGAAGGUGGGUCCGGUAAUUGGGGUGAAGUCGUAACAAGGUACC
rnacentral:rRNA from 1 species